rnacentral:tRNA from 1 species
CCCCUGUAGCUCAGGUGGAUAGAGCACCAGCCUCCGGAGCUGGGGGCGAGCGUUCAAGUCGCUCCAGGGGCGC